rnacentral:lncRNA from 1 species
CUACCAGAGGAGGAAGGUUGGGGUCGUCCGCAGAAGAGCCCAUGAGCUUGCAACUCCGAAGGCAGAGACACAAACGAACUUGGAGUGGCAAGACCCUGGAGGCACCCUGUGCUAGGGUGCUGACUGUGUCUCCAAACCUGUUGCAAGUAUAUGCAUGUAACUGAGGAUUUCCCUUUCCUACAAAUAUUGAUAAUCAAUUCCGCUAGGAGAGACGCACCCUGUGCACAGAGGAUGGACUGCACCUCACAAGACAAGUCCACGUGCUGCUGCCGGAGACACACCAAUUCCGCUGGGCGCGAACGGAUUCCAGUAGCGCGUCUGUCACCGAUCACUUAUCAUACCUACGAUUUUCAUUAUAGUUGGGACAACUGCAAGGAAUACACAACCUCCUGCACAAAGUUGCUGUGUGUUACCCAGAGGAGGACCCUGGCAGAGGCACCGUUAGUGCUAAAGAUAGAAGGAGAAAAUGUCUGCCCUCAGCUCUCCCCUCCCUACCCAGAAAACCCUGGGUGCCAUCUGAGAGGAGAGAAGCCAUGCCACUGCCAACGGCGAAAGAUAGAGCCUGUUGGGUUGCGGGCAUGUGGGUGCGGGCAAGGAGGCCAUCUUAUCCGGGAAUGUCUCUGCAGCAUCUAAGAUGGCUGAGCUGGCAUCCGAGAUGCGUUCCAUGGGGUGGAAUAUGACAUUUGAAGAGAGACUGGAAAUGCUGGCCGUGUGGUAUGGUGCACGCAAACAGGCAAGAAGAGACAACGUGUGUCUUCACCUGCAUCCUCAGCCACUGCGAUUACAGGACUAAGAACAGAGCUGGGAACUGUAGUUCUUUGUCCUUUGCUGUCAUAGCCUUUAAAUAACUUUCAGUUGUUUGUCUUGAAUUUAUGAUGUGUUGAUGCAUAAUUUUAGCAUGUUUCAUGAAAAUAAAAAAUAAAAUGAAAUGAAAUUUGAGACUUUG